rnacentral:rRNA from 1 species
CGAUGAAGCCCAGCUUGCUGGGUGGAUUAGUGGCGAACGGGUGAGUAACACGUGAGUAACCUGCCCUUGACUCUGGGAUAAGCGUUGGAAACGACGUCUAAUACCGGAUACGAGCUUCCACCGCAUGGUGAGUUGCUGGAAAGAAUUUUGGUCAAGGAUGGACUCGCGGCCUAUCAGCUUGUUGGUGAGGUAACGGCUCACCAAGGCGACGACGGGUAGCCGGCCUGAGAGGGUGACCGGCCACACUGGGACUGAGACACGGCCCAGACUCCUACGGGAGGCAGCAGUGGGGAAUAUUGCACAAUGGGCGAAAGCCUGAUGCAGCAACGCCGCGUGAGGGACGACGGCCUUCGGGUUGUAAACCUCUUUUAGCAGGGAAGAAGCGAAAGUGACGGUACCUGCAGAAAAAGCACCGGCUAACUACGUG